rnacentral:rRNA from 1 species
UCCGUAGGUGGAUCAAUCAGUCAGAGGUGAAAUCCUGCAGCUUAACUGUAGAACUGCCCUUGAUACUGUUGAUCUUGAGUCAUUAUGAAGUGGUUAGAAUGUGUAGUGUAGCGGUGAAAUGCAUAGAUAUUACACAGAAUACCGAUUGCGAAGGCAGAUCACUAAUAAUGUACUGACACUGAGGGACGAAAGCGUGGGGAGCGAACAGGAUUAGAUACCCUGGUAGUCC